AUUGAACGCUGGCGGCAGGCCUAACACAUGCAAGUCGAACGAGUGGCGGACGGGUGAGUAAUGUCUGGGAAACUGCCUGAUGGAGGGGGAUAACUACUGGAAACGGUAGCUAAUACCGCAUACCAUCGGAUGUGCCCAGAUGGGAUUAGCUAGUAGGUGGGGUAAAGGCUCACCUAGGCGACGAUCCCUAGCUGGUCUGAGAGGAUGACCGGCAAAACGGGAACGGAGACACGGUCCAGACUCCGACGGGAGGCAGCAGUGGGGAAUAUUGCACAAUGGGCGCAAGCCUGAUACAGCCAUGCCGCGUGUAUGAAGAAGGGCUUCGGAUUGUAAAGUACUUUCAGCGGGGAGGCGUUACCCAAAGAAGAAGCACCGGCUAACUCCGUGCCAGCAGCCGCGGUAAUUC
rnacentral:rRNA from 1 species